rnacentral:rRNA from 1 species
UACGUAGGGUGCAAGCGUUGUCCGGAAUUAUUGGGGCGUAAAGAGCUCGUAGGCGGUUUGUCGCGUCUGCUGUGAAAACUCGGGGCUUAACUCCGGGCCUGCAGUGGGUACGGGCAGACUAGAGUGCGGUAGGGGAGACUGGAAUUCCUGGUGUAGCGGUGAAAUGCGCAGAUAUCAGGAGGAACACCGGUGGCGAAGGCGGGUCUCUGGACAGUUCCUGACACUGAGGCACGAAGGCCAGGGGAGCAAACGGG